AGUCACGGUGGCUGUACUCUGCUUCCAUGGUCGGAGGCAGUAUGCUUCUGAACACCAGUUGCUGGAAACAACAGGAGGGAAGAGUGCUCUUCUGCACAGAUAUCCAAGGCUUACUGUCAGAAGUGAUUAAGCAAUUGUUGCCACUGGACACAAGAAAGACAUUGCCUAAGACGAUCAAAGAUGGAAGUGAUCUUUUAAAAGGCAGAGAAGAUACAAAACUAAUUGGAAUCUUGAGUAACAAAACUGACAAAAGUGAUAUACUCAAAGUGAUACAAAGUAUGACACAAGGUCCAUUCCCAAAACUACACUGUGGCUGAUGUUGAGAGAGCUCUUGCCUGAAUCUUGAGAAGAGGAAGCCGAAGAGCUCCAGUGUAACUUGCUCCCAGUAACUCACUCCCUUCUCCAUGUGAACUACUGUGUCCUGAGGCCAGUUAAAGCUUCUGAACAAAAAUUCGCCUCAGGGAUACAAGUAUAGCAUUCCUGACAGAGUGAACUGCACCAGUGAAGAAGAGCUCAACACCUCCCAAGGACGUCACUUCCACUGUUGAACCGCUUUUACCAUUGGGAAUUUUCUCUCAAUGCUUAGCCAAAAUCUCCUUCCUUGCAAUUUCCACCCAUUGGGUCUAGUCCUGCCUUUGAAGCAGCAGUGAAAUAUUCCAUUGUGACUUCACCUUAUUAACAGUGCAAGCCUAAGUAUAUUUACUGAGAUGUAAAUCUUCCAGAGCUAAAUGGGACUAACCUUUUGGUGAGGAUUGUUUAGGAUUGCAGCCUAUGACGUAAGAUUGGCCCAUCCCUUUGAAAUGGCUAGCUACCAUUUGAUAAAUUAUAGAGGGCUCGCAGAUUGUCCAUAGAAAUGCUUGAGCAGUUUAAUCUUUAUGAAUUCCUAUUCGAAGUGUGAUCAGCACCUGUUGAAUGAAUAUAUGAAUUGGUACUUAACUGGCUUAGUUUUAUGUUGAUUUUGUGUGCUGCUGGAAUUGUUUAAGUAUGUUGCAAAUUUUAUGUUAAUAUUCCGAUAGCAUGUUGGGGUUUAAUUUGAGGGUUGUUUUGUUUUUAUUGUUUUAUUAUUGAUUUGUUAGCUGCCUUGAGUCUCUUUG